UGGGACCCUUCAGUCCUCAGGCUGACACUCUAUCCACUGAGCCAAACCGCUUAGAGCAGCGGUUCUCAACCUGUGGGUCGCGAUCCCUUUGGGGGUCGAAUGACCCUUUCACUGGGGUCGCCUAAGAUCAUCGGAAAACACAGAUAUUUACAUUAUGAUU